rnacentral:lncRNA from 1 species
UUGAGAAGAAGGUGAAGGGCUGACGGCCAUGAUCAGACAUGCCGGUACUUUUGCGAAGGGGGUGGAGCUGUUCUUCAAGAGCAGGCCCUAGCUGAUUAACUAUGUUGAGGUGAAUUGUAGAUGUUAUCAAGCCGUUGUUGAUUGAUCUGACAGGUGCAAGCAGGCCUCAAAUUCGACUUCUGAUGAGUACUGGCGACUGGCAACCGAUUCACUAGGACUAAAACCUUUGCCAUGUUUGAAGUGCUGUCAGGUCUCGAUGAUGGACAGCUGGAUAUUGAUGGAAAUUAUGCCGACGGCAGGUGCUGACGCAAGGCUGGUUAGAUCACAAGCUACAGUUUCGUUUUCUAUUGUUUAAUGCAUAAGUUAUUUCCCCAGCAUAUGUGUUAGUUUAAAUUGUGCUAGAACUUUUGUAGAAUAACGAGCAUGUUAUUAUUCCCGGCUUUUGUUAAAUCAUGUACUCUCUUGAUUUUUGAUAUAUUUUGCAACUUUGGUGUCAUUCUGCAACUUUGAGAGGGG